AGAGUUUGAUCAUGGCUCAGAACGUACGCUGGCGGCACGCCUAACACAUGCAAGUCGAACGAAGUAGCAAUACUUAGUGGCAGACGGGUGAGUAACAUGUAGGUAUCUGCCCUUUGGCCUGGAAUAACACGAGGAAACUUGUGCUAAUACCGGAUAAGUCUUUACGGAGAAAGCUUUAUGCACCAUUGGAUGAGCCUGCACUUGAUUAGUUUGUUGGUGGGGUAAUGGCCUACCAAGACUGUGAUCAAUAGCUGAUUUGAGAGGAUGAUCAGCCACAUUGGGACUGAGACACGGCCCAAACUCCUACGGGAGGCAGCAGUGGGGAAUCUUGCACAAUGGAGGAAACUCUGAUGCAGCGAUGCCGCGUGAGUGAAGAAGGCCUUUGGGUUGUAAAGCUCUUUCGUCGGGGAAGAAAAUGACUGUACCCGAAUAAGAAGGUCCGGCUAACUUCGUGCCAGCAGCCGCGGUAAUACGAAGGGACCUAGCGUAGUUCGGAAUUACUGGGCUUAAAGAGUUCGUAGGUGGUUGAAAAAGUUAGUGGUGAAAUCCCAGAGCUUAACUCUGGAACUGCCAUUAAAACUUUUCAGCUAGAGUAUGAUAGAGGAAAGCAGAAUUUCUAGUGUAGAGGUGAAAUUCGUAGAUAUUAGAAAGAAUACCAAUUGCGAAGGCAGCUUUCUGGAUCAUUACUGACACUGAGGAACGAAAGCAUGGGUAGCGAAGAGGAUUAGAUACCCUCGUAGUCCAUGCCGUAAACGAUGUGUGUUAGACGUUGGAAAUUUAUUUUCAGUGUCGCAGGGAAACCGAUAAACACACCGCCUGGGGAGUACGACCGCAAGGUUAAAACUCAAAUGAAUUGACGGGGACCCGCACAAGUAGUGGAGCAUGUGGUUUAAUUCGAAGAUACGCGCAGAACCUUACCAACACUUGACAUGUUCGUCGCGACUCUAAGAGAUUAGAGUUUUCGGUUCGGCCGGACGAAACACAGGUGCUGCAUGGCUGUCGUCAGCUCGUGUCGUGAGAUGUUGGGUUAAGUCCCGCAACGAGCGCAACCCUCACUUUUAGUUGCCAUCAUUAAGUUGGGCACUCUGAAAGAACUGCCAGUGAUAAGCUGGAGGAAGGUGGGGAUGACGUCAAGUCCUCAUGGCCCUUACGUGUUGGGCUACACACGUGCUACAAUGGCAUCUACAACAGGAAGCAAAACGGCAACGUUAAGCAAAUCCCGAAAAGAUGCCUCAGUUCGGAUUGCACUCUGCAACUCGAGUGCAUGAAGCUGGAAUUACUAGUAAUCGUGGAUCAGCGUGCCACGGUGAAUGCGUUCCCGGGUCUUGUACACACCGCCCGUCACACCAUGGGAGUUGGUUCUACCUUAAGGCAAGGUUUUAAACCCUUGACCACGGUAUAGUCAGCGACUGGGGUGAAGUCGUAACAAGGUAGCCGUAGGGGAACCUGCGGCUG
rnacentral:rRNA from 1 species